GCCGCCGCCGCCGCCAACGCCGCCGCCGCGCCCCGAGCGCCCCCCCCGUUUCUAUAUUUACCAGCGGCGCCCGGAAGGGGCCGGCGCAGGCACGUCCAGCCCCGGGGAAGCCGGGCACGCGGGCUUUUUUUUUGAUUUUUUAUUUUUUUACUCUAGAAACGGCGUUGCCCUUUGGAGGGUGGGCGGGAACGUGCUGCUUUCAGGAAAAUGUCCAGCCGCUUCUCGGAACCCACGGAGCCCGCCGACGACCACUAUCCGGCGCUCACGGCUCUGCACGCAGUUGCCCGCGCGCCGGGGGAGGGAGACGCCGGGCCUACAGUGUAUCCUGCUGGAGCUAAGCUACUGUUACGGGGAAGGGGAGCGAGUCCAAUAAAAGAGCCACUAGUACAGGCCUCACACGAGGCUGUUUUCGGAGCCGGGUCAUUCAGGUAAGACACAGCCCCUCUGCCCAGUUCCCGCAGGCCUGUCCGGCUUCAGUCCUACACUUACUUGGCUCGGGGUGUUUGCAUCACAGCCUGUACUUCCACCAUCAAGACACUGACCCCUCUGAGCUGUGACGGCCUGUUCGCCGCUGCGUCCCCAGCCACACUGAGGUGAAACCGCAGUUUGGGCCUCCACACCAACAGGGAAUGGAGUCUCUAGGAUGGUGUCAGCAGUAGCUCAGACCUUCCGAGUCCA